GUGUUCACUUCAGGAGCACAUAUACUAAACUUGGAAUGAUACAGAGAAGAUUAGCAUGGGCCCUGCACAAGGGUGACACACAAAUUCAUGAAGCAUUCCAUAUUAUU